CUUAGGUGCAUUGUAGUUGCAUUGCAUGUUAUUCAAAGUGCAGUGUCUCUCCAGUGCAACUUAG
rnacentral:pre_miRNA from 15 species